UGUAACACAUUUGUGUACGCUGCGAAUAUUGUGCUUUGAUUUUUGAAAAAACUAAGUUAAGUAUAGUCGCUGACUGACAGUCAACCACAAAAUUUUUGCGGUUGGAUGUUGACUGACGAAAACGUGUGCUCACAUGGUCAUACAGGGGAAUGAAAUUUGAGCAAAAAAAAACUGUCGAUUUUGAUCGCCAAUGUGUACCACGAAUUACAAUCAUUGUGAAUUCUCCGAGUUAAAAGAAAGGAAAUUCUGGGUUGAAGUACUCGGGCUCUUUUUUAGAUUGGCAUUGAUUUUUAAAUCAAAUCUCGAAAAUAAAAACUGAAGCAUAUGAACUGAAGCGUCCGAAAUAUAAAAUUUCGUUAGCUAUUGUUUGUGUUUUAUUAUUCUUAGAUAUUUGGACGAAGAAGAAGUAAUGGAUAGAAAUGAUAGAUCAGCCACGCCGCAACUGGCACCCGAUCAGCAAGCUCCUACCGACACAGCCGCUAAUGGAACAAAUCAACAGUUGUCUACGGCAACUCAAUGUAAGAAGCCACGUCCAGAUCUGAGCUCACUGCCCACCCGACAAUAUUUAGACCAAACAGUAGCACCGAUAUUACUACACGGAUUGCAGACGUUAGCUCGUGAACGGCCACCAGACCCCAUAAGUUUCUUGGCAGCAUACCUUCUGAAGAACAAAAAUCGUUAUGAAGAUUCAAUACCAGAAAAUAUUUAGAUUAUA